rnacentral:rRNA from 1 species
UGGGGAAUAUUGCACAAUGGGCGCAAGCCUGAUGCAGCAACGCCGCGUGAGGGACGACGGCCUUCGGGUUGUAAACCUCUUUUAGCAGGGAAGAAGCGAAAGUGACGGUACCUGCAGAAAAAGCGCCGGCUAACUACGUGCCAGCAGCCGCGGUAAUACGUAGGGCGCAAGCGUUAUCCGGAAUUAUUGGGCGUAAAGAGCUCGUAGGCGGUUUGUCGCGUCUGCUGUGAAAUCCGGAGGCUCAACCUCCGGCCUGCAGUGGGUACGGGCAGACUAGAGUGCGGUAGGGGGGAUUGGAAUUCCUGGUGUAGCGGUGGAAUGCGCAGAUAUCAGGAGGAACACCGAUGGCGAAGGCAGAUCUCUGGGCCGUAACUGACGCUGAGGAGCGAAAGGGUGGGGAGCAAACAGG